AUUGAACGCUGGCGGCAGGCCUAACACAUGCAAGUCGAACGGUAACAGGAAGAAGCUUGCUUCUUUGCUGACGAGUGGCGGACGGGUGAGUAAUGUCUGGGAAACUGCCUGAUGGAGGGGGAUAACUACUGGAAACGGUAGCUAAUACCGCAUAACGUCGCAAGACCAAAGAGGGGGACCUUAGGGCCUCUUGCCAGCGGAUGUGCCCAGAUGGGAUGAGCUAGUAGGUGGGGUAACGGCUCACCUAGGCGACGAUCCCUAGCUGGUCUGAGAGGAUGACCAGCCACACUGGAACUGAGACACGGUCCAGACUCCUACGGGAGGCAGCAGUGGGGAAUAUUGCACAAUGGGCGCAAGCCUGAUGCAGCCAUGCCGCGUGUAUGAAGAAGGCCUUCGGGUUGUAAAGUACUUUCAGCGGGGAGGAAGGGAGUAAAGUUAAUACCUUUGCUCAUUGACGUUACCCGCAGAAGAAGCACCGGCUAACUCCGUG
rnacentral:rRNA from 1 species